rnacentral:rRNA from 1 species
CAGUCGCCACGGUAAUACGGAGGGAGCUAGCGUUAUUCGGAAUUACUGGGCGUAAAGCGCACGUAGACGGCUUUGUAAGUUAGAGGUGAAAGCCUGGUGCUCAACACCAGAACUGCCUUUGAUACUGCAUCGCUUGAAUCCAGGAGAGGUGAGUGGAAUUCCGAGUGUAGAGGUGAAAUUCGUAGAUAUUCGGAAGAACACCAGUGGCGAAGGCGGCUCACUGGACUGGUAUUGACGCUGAGGUGCGAAAGCGUGGGGAGCAAACAGGAUUAGAGACCCGCGUAGUCCCUGUCUCUUAUAC